GACCCCACCCCUCCUGGAGGAGAUGGCAUCCGAUCCAAUUCACCUCGAAGGGUGAUAUGGGGUCACAUCAAGGGGAGGGCUGUGGCCACUCUUCAAGGCCUCUGCUUAGUGGAGCUGUUCAACUUUCACAGAACAAACAACUUACGCUGUGUCCUCACUAACUGCUAGCACCUCAGUUUCUGAGCAGUUCCCGCAACUGAUCCACUGGCUGACUGGCCAAAGACACCUCUCGGCUGUCAGGACAACCAACUUACAGAGGCCUUUGCCUUGGAGGUUGCUCUGGAACCUGGCUCCUUUCCCUGGGUCCACAAACCUCCUGAGAAGCUCCCCAGACCCUGUUGACCUCUCUCUGCUUCAACUGGCUGCUUUCCUGAUCUGCCUCCACCUCGCCUUCCACCUGCUGCAUGGCUUUGCCCCUCUGCCUUGCCGUUUCCCGUGCGGGUGAAGCAGGUAGGUGGAGGUGAGUCUGGAGAGACGGGCAGGCUGGAAUAUGGUGGCUCUGAAAGCCACACAGUGGGGUUCUUUUUUUUCUGCUCUCGGUCUCCAGAUUGAACCCAGUAGGAUUUCACACCAACAAAAUUUGUUAUCGUUUUGUAUAGUAAGCACUUAAUCCAGAUGAUGUUACCAAGUAUAUGACAAAAAUCCAGAAUCUGGGGUCUUUUCCACCCAGAACUAGAGAAGCUAAUACCUCAGGUCCUGGCACCAGAGAAGCUCCUUCCAAUAGCUAAUGUUCACUUGCAAACUCCCCACUCUGUCCAAAAAAAAGCACUGAAGUCAUCUGAGAUUAGUUCACAUAGAAUAUAUUUCAUUCUUUAAAAAAUAAAACUUUCAUCAUAGCUAACAUGUAUGUAUACUACAAAAAUAGACAUUUUCAU
rnacentral:lncRNA from 10 species